CCUACGGGACGCACCAUAGAAUAUUGCGCAAUGGAGGCAACUCUGACGCAGCAACGCCGCGUGGGUGAAGAAGGCUUUCGGGUUGUAAAGCCCUGCCAGGUGGGAAGAAACCUCUUCCAGUGAAUAGCUAGAGGAACUGACGGUACCACCAAAGGAAGCACCGGCUAACUCCGUGCCAGCAGCCGCGGUAGUACGGAGGGUGCGAGCGUUAAUCGGAAUUACUGGGCGUAAAGGGCGCGUAGGCGGUGGGUUACGUCUGCCGUGAAAUCCCCGGGCUCAACCUGGGAAUGGCGGUGGAAACGGGCUGACUGGAGUAUGGGGGAGGGUGAUGGAAUUCCAGGUGUAGCGGUGAAAUGCGUAGAGAUCUGGAGGAACACCAGUGGCGAAGGCGGUCACCUUGGCCCAAUACUGACGCUGAGGCGCGAAAGCGUGGGGAGCAAACAGGAUUAGAUACCCUGGUAGUCCACGCCCUAAACGAUGGAUACUGGAUGUUUGGGCGCCUUAGGUGCUGAGUGUCGUAGCUAACCCAUAAGUAUUCCGCCUUGGGAAGUACGGGCCGCAAGGUUAAAACUCAAAGGAAUUGACGG
rnacentral:rRNA from 1 species